GAUUGUGUGGCUGCUGUUGGUCUAAACUCUGAUGGCAAGAGGGAGAAGUGAGAAAAAACAUCCAUCUUCUACGUGCUACAAAAAGUGAAAAAGUGAAAUUGCAGGCUACACUUCAGGGAGCUUUCCUACUUUGCUACAGACAGAGGCAACUACAAUGGGACCAUUCAGAUGUUUACAAAGGAACUAACAAAACUUGUAGGGACGUACACGGCUGAAAGGUAUAUGUGACUAUGGUGCCACAGCUGGUCACUCAGCAAAACUUUACCUCUCCUGCUGAAGAAAGGUAGAUGAACAGCCUUAAAGCAACUGCUGCAUUUCCAAGAAUAGUUUAAAAAGCAGUGGCCUGGAAGCCACUGGAAGCCACUGGAAGCAGAGGAAAAGCAGAGGAAGUGUUCCUAUUCCUAUUACCAGUCUGUAAACCUGUGGAUGUUGUACACACAUGUGAAUAUGCUUCUCUGUACUCUGCAAUAACUCUAUAGAAGUUAAAAAAUAAAUUGAAAUGGAGAAGUAUAUUAUGUGAACA
rnacentral:lncRNA from 1 species